ACUGCCCUUGGGCACCUCCUUGGCACAGCAGUUGGGCUGUGGGAAUGUCAUUGAGGGGCAGAGAGGAGACCAUGGCUAGCAGGAAGCAAUGGAUGCA
ensembl:snoRNA small nucleolar RNA SNORA17